rnacentral:rRNA from 1 species
GAUGAACGCUGGCGGCGUGCUUAACACAUGCAAGUCGAACGGAAAGGCCCAAGCUUGCUUGGGUACUCGAGUGGCGAACGGGUGAGUAACACGUGGGUGAUCUGCCCUGCACUUCGGGAUAAGCCUGGGAAACUGGGUCUAAUACCGGAUAGGACCACAUUUUGGAUGGUGUGGUGGAAAGUUUUUCGGUGUGGGAUGAGCUCGCGGCCUAUCAGCUUGUUGGUGGGGUAAUGGCCUACCAAGGCGUCGACGGGUAGCCGGCCUGAGAGGGUGUACGGCCACAUUGGGACUGAGAUACGGCCCAGACUCCUACGGGAGGCAGCAGUGGGGAAGAUUGCACAAUGGGCGCAAGCCUGAUGCAGCGACGCCGCGUGGGGGAUGACGGCCUUCGGGUUGGAAACUCCUUUCGCUAGGGACGAAGCGUUAUGUGACGGUACCUGGAGAAGAAGCACCGGCUAACUACGUG